CCAGUUAAACUGACUAAGAUAAAAACUACUUUUAAUUAAUUGACAGAUAUGUUAAAAUAAACACAUUUUAUGCCAAUAACUUGAAAUGACAUUCACAGUUGAACUUUGAACUUUUUUUACAGGAAGCACAAGCGUUUGCGGAAGAGAAUAAUCUGAUAUUCACAGAGUCGUCUGCUAAAACUGGAAUGUGUGUGGGAGAUAUUUUCAUGGCGGUCGCGCAAACUUUAGCAAAAUUACGACCUCAGUCGGCGGAACCGGAAGGAAAAGGUAUUAAGCUCGGCAAGGAUUCUGGGAAGAAAAAAGAUGGCGGCUGUUGCUGACAGACGGUCACAUGUUUACAGACGUGGCUUGUUUUAUUUAACGAAUAAAACGAAAAUGUGAUAAUUAUUCCGUGAAACAUAUUUAGUGUUAUUUUGUACUUUUAAUUGUGGAAACUAAUACAUUCCAUUGUUAAUGCUUUGCAUUUUAGUGUUUUUGUUUGCAUGUGAAGUGAGAUUUGAAGAUUUGUGUUGUAUCGCCAUUGAUACUAUAUUUAGAUGUUGUGCUGCGACGUUUUUCAAAUAUGUUUGGUUGUAAAUAACUAAUUUAAUUUGGUUAGCAGUCUGUACUUUUGAUAUCCGUUUUGUCAGUGUAUGAUUUCAUAAUGAAAUUCAAGUAACAAUGUAUCAUAUUUCCGGGAGCAAUGAAAGCGAACAAGUGUCUGAUACUCUUCCUUGAUAACUUUACUACAUGUAUUCGCAUUUCAUUUCCCCGAUUUCUACAAGUC